UUCUUUAGGGCUUAACCCCUUUUGUUAUUCUACCUGCACUCUUCCGUAAACUAAAACGUGCAUUAUCAAUAGGAUCAAUUCUAACAAGUCACACACUCAUAUUCCAGAGAUACCGAAACAAAAAAAUUCCGCGGUCGAACUACCAUAAUAUCUAGAAAUGUAGAUCUUAAACUAGAAAGGCUUUUUUGGAUGGAAAAACUCUGACUUCCUAGUUUUAGUUAGUAGAAACCUAAUUGGUUAAAAUUCCAUCCAGUAAAACGGAAGAAUUAUAAAUUUCUAAAAUACAUAGCUUUCUUUAGUCUUUCCGGUAUAGCGUCGCGUCGGUCGAUAUCGCAGAGUCUAAUUUCCUAACUCGGAUUUGAACUCAGUGGGUAAUUUCUAACAAAGUUUUUCUCUUGUUGAUUCCUAAUUCUAGGUGUAGUGCUUUUCUCCCCUAUGCUGCCUACGGAUACUAAAGAUCACCGCUUUUCAUACGCUAAUUCGUGAUUCAAAGUAGAGCGAGUGAGGGAGCUAUACCCGGGACUCAAUCAACAUAUGCCAGAAAUAGGAAAUUGGAAUGAAAUCCAGUCUUAGUCAAAUACUUCAUAUCUCUUUGUGUCCAAGCAGAAGGAAAAGGAUACAAUUUGAGCCCAAUCCCUUUGGUCAUUUCGCUUUUCGUGCCGGCCUGUAUUCAGAGUUUCUUGGAUUUGCGGUGCCUGAAUGCCUUUCUCCUUCUUUUUGGUGACGCUUCGCUUGCAUGCAAGGCGGCUAAUAAAAGCGCCAGGUAGACGCGCGGAGAUGCAUUUUGAGUACUGGUGGUACUGGACAAGCUCUAGGGGAAUAAUCUCUUUCUUAUUUCUUUCUUAUUCCUUUCAUUUGUUGCUUUGUCUUCGGUUUGUUUUUAAACUCGACCUUCUAUCGGGACUGUGGUGACGAACCUUACUCCCCUCGGUCAAGUGGUUGACCCGUCUGUCCAAUAAGUUUACUAAGUGAAUGGGAAUCCUAUAGUUUGACCAGCCUGGAUCUCUAUUCUCCAUAAGGAUAGGGUUUAUUUGAUUGGCAUUCACGCCUUUUAGAAAGAGCCACUCAAUGCAAUUCACUUUUAGGCGAAGAGAGUAGCAGGGACUAUGGUAUCGAAUUUUUUCAUUCGAGUAUCUAUUAGAAAUGAAUUCUCCAGCAUUUGAUUCCUUACUAACAAAGAACUUUUUGGUACACUUGAAAGGUACCCCAUAGCAUGACUAAUUGAUAAAAUGUGGAGGAAAGUAGGGGAAAUGGCCGAUACUACUGGAAGAAUUCCUCUUUGGCUGAUAGGAGCGUAAAUAAUUGUAACCAUAUACAUAUAAAAUGA
rnacentral:lncRNA from 1 species